GAUGAACGCUGGCGGCGUGCCUAAUACAUGCAAGUCGAGCGAACGGACGAGAAGCUUGCUUCUCUGAUGUUAGCGGCGGAAGGGUGCGUAACACGUGGAUAACCUACCUAUAAGACUGGGAUAACUUCGGGAAACCGGAGCUAAUACCGGAUAAUAUUUUGAACCGCAUGGUUCAAAAGUGAAAGACGGUCUUGCUGUCACUUAUAGAUGGAUCCGCGCUGCAUUAGCUAGUUGGUAAGGUAACGGCUUACCAAGGCAACGAUGCAUAGCCGACCUGAGAGGGUGAUCGGCCACACUGGGACUGAGACACGGUCCAGACUCCUACGGGAGGCAGCAGUACGGAAUCUUCCGCAAUGGGCGAAAGCCUGACGGAGCAACGCCGCGUGAGUGAUGAAGGUCUUCGGAGCGUAAAACUCUGUUAUUAGGGAAGAACAUAUGUGUAAGUAACUGUGCACAUCUUGACGGCACCUAAUCAGAAAGCCACGGCUAACUACGUG
rnacentral:rRNA from 1 species